GCCUGCCCUGUGACGAAAGUUUAACGGCCGCGGUAUUUUGACCGUGCAAAGGUAGCGCAAUCACUUGUCUUUUAAAUAGAGACCUGUAUGAAUGGCAUAACGAGGGCUUAACUGUCUCCUUUUUCCCAUCAAUGAAAUUGAUCUCCCCGUGCAGAAGCGGGGAUUAAUACAUAAGACGAGAAGACCCUAUGGAGCUUAAGCCGCAAGAGCAGAACAUGUCCUUUCUCCUAAUCAAAAAAUGAAAUCUAUUGAACCCUGCUCCAGUGUCUUUGGUUGGGGCGACCACGGAGUACAAAAAAACCUCCACGAGGAAUGAAGAAACUUCUUCCCAUCCAAGGGUGACAACCCUAAGAACCAGAACUUCUGACCACCUUGAUCCGGCAAAGCCGAUCAGCGAACCGAGUUACCCUAGGGAUAACAGCGCAAUCCUCUUUUAGAGUCCAUAUCGACAAGAGGGUUUACGACCUCGAUGUUGGAUCAGGACAUCCUAAUGGUGCAGCCGCUAUUAAGGGUUCGUUUGUUCAACGAUUAAAGUCCUACGUGAUCUGA
rnacentral:rRNA from 1 species